GUAGGUGGCAAGCGUUGUCCGGAAUUAUUGGGCGUAAAGCGCGCGCAGGCGGAUCUUUAAGUCUGAUGUGAAAGCCCACGGCUCAACCGUGGAGGGUCAUUGGAAACUGGAGAACCUGAGUACAGAAGAGGAAAGCGGAAUUCCACGUGUAGCGGUGAAAUGCGUAGAGAUGUGGAGGAACACCAGUGGCGAAGGCGGCUUUCUGGUCUGUAACUGACGCUGAGGCGCGAAAGCGUGGGGGAGCAAACAGGAUUAGAUACCCUGGUAGUCCACGCCGUAAACGAUGAGUGCUAAGUGUUAGGGGGUUUCCGCCCCCUAGUGCUGCAGCUAACGCAUUAAGCACUCCGCCUGGGAGUACGGCCGCAAGGCUG
rnacentral:rRNA from 1 species